UACGUAGGGGGCUAGCGUUGUUCGGAAUUAUUGGGCGUAAAGCGCGUGUAGGCGGCUUUGCAAGUCGGGUGUGAAAGCCCUCGGCUCAACCGAGGAAGUGCGCCCGAAACUGCAGAGCUUGAGUACCGGAGAGGAUGGCGGAAUUCCCCAAGUAGAGGUGAAAUUCGUAGAUAUGGGGGAGGAACACCGGUGGCGAAGGCGGCCAUCUGGACGGAUACUGACGCUGAGACGCGAAAGCGUGGGUAGCAAACAGG
rnacentral:rRNA from 1 species